rnacentral:rRNA from 1 species
AGCGAACGCUGGCGGCAGGCUUAACACAUGCAAGUCGAACGGUCCUUCGGGAUAGUGGCGGACGGGCGAGUAACACGUGGGAACGUACCCGUAGGUUCGGAACAACACAGGGAAACUUGUGCUAAUACCGGAUAAGCCAUUCGGGGGAAACAUUUAUCGCCUUUGGAGCGGCCCGCGUCUGCUUAGCUUGAUGGUGUGGUAAUGGCUCCCCAAGGCAACGUUCAGUAGCUGGUCUGCGAGGAUGGCCGGCCAAACUGGGACUGAGACACGGCCCAGACUCCUACGGGAGGCAGCAGUGGGGAAUCUUGCGCAAUGGGCGAAAGCCUGACGCAGCCAUGCCGCGUGGAUGAUGAAGUUCUUAGGAUUGUAAAAUCCUUUCACCGGGGACGAUAAUGACGGUACCCGGAGAAGAAGCCCCGGCUAACUUCGUGCCAGCCGCCGCGGUAA